rnacentral:lncRNA from 1 species
UGAGUGUUAGUUUUAAAUAGACUAUUGACAAAUUACAGAUUUUUUUCAUGUAUUGAAAUUAUAUUCCAGAUGAUUUUGAGAUUUACUGGUAUAAUAUUCUCCUCAUGAGGUAGGAUGGAAGGGAAGGAAUAGAGAAAAAAUGUUCUGCUCUGAAAUGAAUGUGGUGUUUCCUGACAGCAUUUGUCAAGAACGAAAGGUCAAAAAUAAAGCACUGAUGGAAACACAUGAUAAAUAAGGUGUUGAAUAAUUUGAAUGGGAAUUUGAAGGUUCAUGCCUUCCAAACCAGCAGGAAUUAAGGCUUAAUUGCUUGGAGAUACAUUUUCUGGCUGAUACCAGUAACAGAAAAAUGUCUGUAUGUCAAGAGGCUCUGUACUAAUCAGUUAACCAUAACAUGUGCCACCCCAUACCUAGGGCCAAUGUAACUGUUAACAGCUUGAAGCUAUUAAAAAUGUACCAAUGGA